CCAAUAGCGUAUAUUAACGUUGUUGCAGUUAAAAAGCUCGUAGUUGAAUUUCGGGAUUGACACAUCGGUCGUGCCUUAAGGGGUAUGAACUGGUGUAGUCAAUUUCUCACCUUCUGGAGAACCGCAAUGCCCUUAAUUGGGUGUCGCGGGGAACCAGGACCUUUACUUUGAAAAAAUUAGAGUGUUUAAAGCAGGCAUUUUGCUUGAAUACAUUAGCAUGGAAUAAUAAAAUAGGACGGAUGAUUCUAUUUUGUUGGUUUCUAGGACCACCGUAAUGAUUAAUAGGGAUAGUUGGGGGCAUUAGUAUUCAAUUGUCAGAGGUGAAAUUCUUGGAUUUAUUGAAGACUAACUACUGCGAAAGCAUUUGCCAAGGAUGUUUUCAUUAAUCAAGAACGAAAGUUAGGGGAUCGAAGACGAUCAGAUACCGUCGUAGUCUUAACCAUAAACUAUGCCGACUAGGAAUCAGACGAUGUUAAUUUUUUAAUGACUCGUUUGGCACCUUACG
rnacentral:rRNA from 1 species